CUAAGAAUCUUCCGCAAUGGACGAAAGUCUGACGGAGCGACGUCGCGUGGGUGAUGAAGGCGGAAACGUUGUAAAGCCCUUUUAUAGAUGAGGAAUAAGUGUGGGAGGGAAUGCCCGCAUGAUGACGGUAAUCUGUGAAUAAGCCCCGGCUAAUUACGUGCCAGCAGCCGCGGUAACACGUAUGGGGCGAGCGUUGUUCGGAAUUAUUGGGCGUAAAGGGUAUGCAGGCGGUUUCGUAAGUCUGGUGUGUAAGACCACAGCUUAACUGGGGGAACGCAUUGGAAACUGCGAGGCUUGAGUACAGGAGGGGGAGCUGGAAUUCCAGGUGUAGGGGUGAAAUCUGUAGAUAUCUGGAAGAACAUCAGUGGCGAAGGCGAGCUCCUGGCCAUGUACUGACGCU
rnacentral:rRNA from 1 species